AGACGUGCGCAGGCGGUUAUGUAAGACAGAUGUGAAAUCCCCGGGCCUCAACCUGGGAACUGCAUUAGUGACUGCAUAGCUGGAGUACGGCAGAGGGGGAUGGAAUUCCGCGUGUAGCAGUGAAAUGCGUAGAUAUGCGGAGGAACACCGAUGGCGAAGGCAAUCCCCUGGGCCUGUACUGACGCUCAUGCACGAAAGCGUGGGGAGCAAACAGGAUUAGAUACCCUUGU
rnacentral:rRNA from 1 species